rnacentral:tRNA from 1 species
UUUAAGUAGCUUAAUAAUUAGAGUAUAACAUUGAAGAUGUUAGGGAGGAUGAAGUAUCCCUUARAUAU